ACACCUUUCUUGAAUCUCGGGUUUGGUUAAGUUCAAAUGAGUAUUCGUUUUUAUCAGUUUAAUAACUGAUAUGUGGGUCAUCGACACCACUUGAUAUUAUGUUUAUUUUUUAUUGAAGGAUAUCCAUUAUCCUAGCUUGGUAAUGUGAUUCUUCAUUCAUCGUCUUAAACUUACACUGCUUCUUCCACAACUUAUGCAUCACUU